rnacentral:rRNA from 1 species
AAACAUGGCUCUUUGAGAUUUAUAUAUAAAGAGUCGGGCCUGCCCAGUGAUGUAUUUUUAACGGCCGCGGUACUCUGACCGUGCGAAGGUAGCAUAAUCAUUUGCCCUAUAAUUGAGGGCUAGUAUGAAUGGUUUGACAUGAGCAUAACUGUCUCCUUAAAAUUUUAUAAAAUUUGGUUUUUAGGUGAAGAAACCUAAAUUAAAUUGAAAGACAAGAAGACCCUAUCGAGCUUUAGAAUAAUUAAUUAAAAAAUAUAAAUAAAAUAAUUAAUUUUAAUUAAAAACUUUGGUUGGGGCGACUGAGGAACAUAUAAAGCUUCCUUAAUUAAACAAUGCUGAUAAGCAAUGAUCCAGGAAAUCUGAUUAAAAAAAUUAGUUACCGUAGGGAUAACAGCAUAAUCUUUUUUGAGAGCUCUUAUCGAAAAAAAGGUUUGUGACCUCGAUGUUGGACUAGGAUAUCCUAAAGAUGUAGAAGUCUUUAAUGGUUGCUCUGUUCGAGCAUAAAAAUCCUACGUGAUCUGAGUUCA